rnacentral:lncRNA from 1 species
GGAGCCUACGGCUGCGGGGAGGCUCCGGCAUGGCGGGCUGCAGGUCCGGUGCCCUGCUCUGCAGGGAGGCAGCUGAGGCCCGGCGAGAAUUCCAGCGCAGUGCCGGCGGGCGGAACUGCUGGGGGACCCGGCGCACCCUCCGCAGCUGCUGGCCCGGGUGCUAAGCCCCUCACUGCCCGGGGCCCACCGAGCCCACGCCCACCCGGAACUCGCGCUGGUCCGGCGCGCAGCCCCGGUUCCCGCCCGCGCCUCUCCCUCCACACCUCCCUGCAAGCAGAGGGAGCCGGCUCCGACCUCGGCCAGCCCAGAGAGGGACUCCCAUAGCCGGCUCCGAUCUCGGGCGGCCCAGAGAAGGACUCCCAUAGUGCAGCGGCGGGCUGGCGGGCUGAAGGGCUUCUCAAGCGCGGCCAGAGUGGGCGCCAAGGCUGAGGCGCCGCCGAGAGCGAGCUGCCAGGACGCUGUCACCUCUCACUGAGAUUACAGGAAAAACACUGCAUAAACAUGGCAUCCAAAGAGAGGAAGCAGAGACAUGAUGCACCAACUACUACUUUAGUAAUUGAAGAGAGAGAGAAGAGCCUGAAGUCAUUCAAUAAUUAGAUCAAAUAAUUUACUAAUGGAUCAUUUGUCUUCCCUUCCAAUGUAAGUUUAAAUUCUUAUUACAGAGAGGGACAAGGAAAUUGUGGAAAAAACACAAAGAAUUUGAGACUCCUAGAACCUAAAUAUUGGCCCAACUACAAGUACCAGAAAAUCAAAAUUCCAAUACAUUGAACAAACAGGAGUUCAUCUUUUUCUCCAGGUAGGUAGGCAAGUAUAGAGCUCCAUGGCAACAUCAAUGACUCAGGAUCCUUUUAUCUUUCUAUUCCAGCUUCCUUAGCAAGUUGGCUAAUUGCUCCAUGGUCACAAGAUAGCUGCUGAAUCUCUAGAAAUCAUUCCCAAGUCCCAUUCAGGAAGAAAAUAAAAGGGUGCAUUGGCUUUUUCUGUUUCCCUCUUCUCAGAACUCUCUCAGCAGACUUUCACUUACGUGUUAUAUAGUCCAGAACUGGAUGGCAUGGCUCCCCACCGUGUGCAAGGGAGAUUCAACAGGAUUUGGUUUUUCAGCCUCUGUUGGGAGAGACCAAGAGACAGAAGGAGACUGGGUAACACUGUCCACCGUAACCACUUAGUAUAGUGAUAACUCUGGGCAAAUAUUAAUUACUACUGGGCUAGUUGAAAGUUUCUGGGAAGCAAAUCAGUUGCUAAGCACAUGCUCUAUGAGAACCCAUAAUAUAAAUAAGAAGAAGAAAAAAGAAGGUUUAAAUGUUGGCUUACUUAGAGGAAUGCCUAGUUUCUUCUCUAUCACUGUGGUAACCACUAGGUUACAACUGUUACCUUUUCUCACAGAAAGACAAUUCCAAAACAGACCUCAAAUGAAAAUGCUACACAAAUAAUGGAUUAAUUGGGUACCAUUUCUACUCUUCUCAUCAUGUUUUACAAGCAGUUGAAAUAAUAUGUGCCCUUCCCAGUCCCUUUUUAGUAUUUGUCAGUAGAAUAGAGUGUCAAAAACGACUUACGAUGCCUAAAACAUUUAGAAAUUAAAAUAGCAUGUGGUGGUGCCAUGACCUUUUCAAUAUGCUGGUGUUUCAAUUGUUCAGCCAUUCCUCUUGUUCUUUUUCCUGACUGUUCUUUAUCAGAGGAAAAGGUAAAUUGGCACCUCAAGUAUGGAGUACUCAAAGGAACUAAACAGCACAUUAUUGAAACAAUUCAGAGGCAAUCCCGCAUAGCUUCCAAGUGCCAUGGAAACAAAAGAUGGUAACUUUAUUAAUUGUGAAAGGUUGGGGGAACGAAUUUAGUAUCUUGCUUUGCCAGUUUUCCUCUAGUGCACAGUAUAGUUUCCAGGACCUGCAUACAAACAUCAGUUCAUGAUCAAAAUGUGACCUUGCCUGUCCCGAUGAAUAAAACUAAUAAAUUCCCCAAUGAUAUGCUUAUUAUGCUUCUCUGAGGGAAGAUGGUUGCUUUCGUGUCAUUGUGGUUCCAUAAUAUCUCUUGGAAGGAGGCUUCUGAGGAUGCCCAAGCUGCUCCUCUGGGUUUCCCUAACACCCUGCAUGCGCUCAUCGUGUAGAAAUUGCCACAUAGCGUUACAGGUUUCUGUUCACUUAUUUCGUCUGCCCAGUGGGAAUGUGAUUUCCUGAAGAGCACCUAGCACAUGCCUAAAACACAAAAGGACUUCACUAAACAUUUGCUGAAUAACUACCACCUGUGCCAAGAAGCAGACCGGCUUCCGCUACAACUGACAGCCCUUCUCUCCUGCUAGUCAGAGAUUCUCUGUCUUGGAAGAGACUUUAGGAAACAGCAGACAUCUUGGAUGUGUGCCUGCCUGCAUUACCACCUUCUCCAGUUUUAUCCUAAAGCUGACUUCAGUACAGCUCUCCCCAAACUGUGGAAACUUUGGAUGACUACCUAAGAACUCCACAAACUCAAGCAGCUUUAAAGCCACUCUGCAACUUUCCUACAAUGAAAGAGGAGGCAGGUACCAUUCUCAGAUAAUACCGAUGAAUUCAGAAACCAAAAUAAAUCUGAAAAAAUGUAGUGCUUCACACUUACAUUUAUACCCUUCUCCCUUCUUGCUUUAUUCCCCAGAAGUGAGUAGCUCCUGAAACUGAUAGCCAAGAGAUGUUCAGGAAGAACCUGUCCCCAAACAGGUGUUUGCACACCCAAGUUAUGUAGGUGUCGGAGUAGAG